AUUUUAGUCAUUUAUAU
rnacentral:sRNA from 1 species